rnacentral:rRNA from 1 species
UGAUGCAGCCAUGCCGCGUGUAUGAAGAAGGCCUUCGGGUUGUAAAGUACUUUCAGCGGGGAGGAAGGUGAUGAGGUUAAUAACCUUGGCCAUUGACGUUACCCGCAGAAGAAGCACCGGCUAACUCCGUG